rnacentral:rRNA from 1 species
UACGUAGGUGGCAAGCGUUGUCCGGAAUUACUGGGCGUAAAGCGUGCGCAGGCGGUUUUGUAAGUCAGAUGUGAAAUCCCCGGGCUUAACCUGGGAACUGCGUUUGAAACUACAAGGCUAGAGUGUAGCAGAGGGGGGUGGAAUUCCACGUGUAGCAGUGAAAUGCGUAGAGAUGUGGAGGAACACCGAUGGCGAAGGCAGCCCCCUGGGUUAACACUGACGCUCAGGCACGAAAGCGUGGGGAGCAAACAGG